GGAUGUGAGGGCGAUCUGGCUGCGACAUCUGUCACCCCAUUGAUGGCCAGGGUUGAUUCGGCUGAUCUGGCUGGCUAGGCGGGUGUCCCCUUCCUCCCUCACUGCUCCAUGUGCGUCCCUCCCGAAGCUGCGUGCUUGGCUGAAGGGGACAGCCUUCCUGAAUAGAGAUGGGCCAGUCUUCAGUCGAGGGUAUACGAGUAGCUGCGCUCCCCUGCUAGAACCUCCAAACAAGCUCUCUAAUAUGAUUCUAAUAUUUAAAAUAUGUGUUUGUUUAUUUAUUUAUUUAUUUAUUUCAUAGGUCAGAGAGAAAUU
rfam:Erinaceus europaeus unplaced genomic scaffold scaffold00196, whole genome shotgun sequence